GGACGGGUGAGUAACGCGUGGGAACGUGCCCUUCUCUGCGGAAUAGCCACUGGAAACGGUGAGUAAUACCGCAUACGCCCUUCGGGGGAAAGAUUUAUCGGAGAAGGAUCGGCCCGCGUUAGAUUAGGUAGUUGGUGGGGUAAUGGCCUACCAAGCCUACGAUCUAUAGCUGGUUUGAGAGGAUGAUCAGCCACACUGGGACUGAGACACGGCCCAGACUCCUACGGGAGGCAGCAGUGGGGAAUCUUAGACAAUGGGCGCAAGCCUGAUCUAGCCAUGCCGCGUGAGUGAUGAAGGCCUUAGGGUCGUAAAGCUCUUUCGCUGGGGAAGAUAAUGACUGUACCCAGUAAAGAAACCCCGGCUAACUCCGUGCCAGCAGCCGCGGUAAUACGGAGGGGGUUAGCGUUGUUCGGAAUUACUGGGCGUAAAGCGCGCGUAGGCGGAUCAGAAAGUUGGGGGUGAAAUCCCGGGGCUCAACCUCGGAACUGCCUCCAAAACUCCUGGUCUUGAGUUCGAGAGAGGUGAGUGGAAUUCCGAGUGUAGAGGUGAAAUUCGUAGAUAUUCGGAGGAACACCAGUGGCGAAGGCGGCUCACUGGC
rnacentral:rRNA from 1 species